UAGCAGUAGGGAAUCUUCCACAAUGGACGAAAGUCUGACGGAGCAACGCCGCGUGAGUGAUGAAGGCUUUCGGGUCGUAAAACUCUGUUGUUAGGGAAGAACAAGUGCUAGUUGAAUAAGCUGGCACCUUGACGGUACCUAACCAGAAAGCCACGGCUAACUACGUGCCAGCAGCCGCGGUAAUACGUAGGUGGCAAGCGUUAUCCGGAAUUAUUGGGCGUAAAGCGCGCGCAGGUGGUUUCUUAAGUCUGAUGUGAAAGCCCACGGCUCAACCGUGGAGGGUCAUUGGAAACUGGGAGACUGAGGCAAAAUAGGGAAAU
rnacentral:rRNA from 1 species